rnacentral:misc_RNA from 1 species
UUCCUCCCGCUCCCACGCCUG